rnacentral:rRNA from 1 species
GAUGAACGCUAGCUACAGGCUUAACACAUGCAAGUCGAGGGACCGGCGCACGGGUGAGUAACACGGAUCCAACCUGCCCUUUACUCGGGGAUAGCCUUUCGAAAGAACGAUUAAUACACGAUAUAAAGGGUGGGGAUGCGGUCGAUUAGGUUGUUGGUGAGGUAACGGCCCACCAAGCCUUCGAUGGAUAGGGGUUCUGAGAGGAAGGUCGCCCACAUUGGAACUGUGACACAGUACAAACUCCUACUGGAGGCAGCAGUGAGGAAUAUUGGUCAAUGGGCGGUAGCCUGAACCAGCCAAGUAGCGUGAAGGAUGAAUGCUUAUGGGUCGUAAACUUCUUUUAUAUAAGAAUAUGUAUUAUAUGAAUAAGGAUCGGCUAACUCCGUGCCAGCAGCCGCGGUAAUAC